rnacentral:rRNA from 1 species
AGAGUUUGAUCCUGGCUCAGGACGAACGCUGGCGGCGUGCCUAAUACAUGCAAGUCGAACGAACGGAUAAGGAGCUCGCUCUUUUGAAGUUAGUGGCGGACGGGUGAGUAACACGUGGGUAACCUGCCUCACAGCUGGGGAUAACAUCGAGAAAUCGAUGCUAAUACCGAAUGUGCUGAACAUCAUAAGAUGUUCAAGUGAAAGACGGUUUCGGCUGUCACUGUGAGAUGGACCCGCGCUGGAUUAGCUAGUUGGUAAGGUAAUGGCUUACCAAGGCGACGAUCCAUAGCCGACCUGAGAGGGUGAUCGGCCACAUUGGGACUGAGACACGGCCCAAACUCCUACGGGAGGCAGCAGUAGGGAAUCUUCGGCAAUGGACGAAAGUCUGACCGAGCAACGCCGCGUGAGCGAAGAAGGCCUUCGGGUCGUAAAGCUCUGUUGUUAGAGAAGAACAUGGGUGAGAGUAACUGUUCACCCCUUGACGGUAUCUAACCAGAAAGCCACGGCUAACUACGUGCCAGCAGCCGCGGUAAUACGUAGGUGGCAAGCGUUGUCCGGAAUUAUUGGGCGUAAAGCGCGCGCAGGCGGUCUCUUAAGUCUGAUGUGAAAGCCCCCGGCUCAACCGGGGAGGGUCGUUGGAAACUGGGAGACUUGAGGACAGAAGAGGAGAGUGGAAUUCCAAGUGUAGCGGUGAAAUGCGUAGAUAUUUGGAGGAACACCAGUGGCGAAGGCGGCUCUCUGGUCUGUUACUGACGCUGAGGCGCGAAA